UCAAAGCCGGUGGCGGGCGACGCCGCAGC
rnacentral:sRNA from 1 species